UACAGAGGUCCCAAGCGUUGUUCGGAUUCAUUGGGCGUAAAGGGUGCGUAGGUGGCGCCGUAAGUGAGGUGUGAAAUUUCGGAGCUUAACUCCGAAACUGCAUUCCAUACUGCGGUGCUUGAGGACUGGAGAGGAGACUGGAAUUUACGGUGUAGCAGUGAAAUGCGUAGAGAUCGUAAGGAAGACCAGUGGCGAAGGCGGGUCUCUGGACAGUUCCUGACACUGAGGCACGAAGGCCAGGGGAGCAAACGGG
rnacentral:rRNA from 1 species